UUUGUAGCUAGGUGCGGGAAUGCACCGCAGACAGAAAUGACUCUGAAAAUCUGUUUUUCGGACCAAAGUGCUGCCGAAUUUUCACUGCAGACAUCAG
rnacentral:lncRNA from 1 species